rnacentral:lncRNA from 1 species
GCUUCUACGCGUGCGCGCGAGAGACACACUUGUGUGCGCGCGCAAGUCUGCACGCUCAUGCGCCACACUGGCUCAAUUCCAUACGCGCCUAUGCCACGUCACCUGUGAGCCUAUACGAGCACGCCACACAGUCGAGCCGUAUUGACUCACUUUGGUGCGCCACGCACGUCACAUCAGUGUCCAUGCUCCAUGCGCACAACCGCGCGCCUACCUGCCAUGUGUACUCGCGCGCGGACGUGCUAGACUGCCACGUCAUGCGCCUCGUACCCAUGCGCCUGCAUGCCACGUCACCAACCUGCCAUGUGUACUCGAGCAAAGUGCGCCACAUUACGCCUCAUCGCCCACGCCGCGCGCGCGAGUUAGGGUGCUCCGCACCUUUCGCGAG